AGGAAGUAAAAGUCGUAACAAGGUUUCCGUAGGUGAACCUGCGGAAGGAUCAUUAUUGAAAUAAACCUGAUGGGUUGUUGCUGGUUCUCUAGGGAGCAUGUGCACACCUUGUCAUCUUUAUAUCUCCACCUGUGCACCUUUUGUAGACCUUUCAGGUCUAUGUUGCUUCAUUUACCCCAAUGUAUGUUAAUAGAAUGUUGUGCCUAUAUAAUAUAUACAACUUUCAGCAACGGAUCUCUUGGCUCUCGCAUCGAUGAAGAACGCAGCGAAAUGCGAUAAGUAAUGUGAAUUGCAGAAUUCAGUGAAUCAUCGAAUCUUUGAACGCACCUUGCGCUCCUUGGUAUUCCGAGGAGCAUGCCUGUUUGAGUGUCAUUAAUAUAUCAACCUUCUCUUUUUGAGUGGUUUGGAUGUGGGGGUUUGCUGGCCUCUUAAAAGGUCUUGGCUCUCCUGAAAUACAUUAGCAGAACAACCCUGUUCAUUGGUGUGAUAACUAUCUACGCUAUUGAAKGUGAAGGGCAGUUUGGCUUUCUAACAGUCCUUGGACAAGCUCAUCAUUAAUGUGACCUCAAAUCAGGUAGGACUACCCGCUGAACUUAAGCAUAUC
rnacentral:rRNA from 1 species